AAAUAAGAAGCAAUUUGCAAUUAGUUUCGACCUAAUCCUUGGUAAUUUAAAUAAUUACCCUUAUUUA
rnacentral:tRNA from 1 species